UGAGGAAUAUUGGUCAAUGGGCGCGAGCCUGAACCAGCCAUCCCGCGUGCAGGAAGACGGCCCUAUGGGUUGUAAACUGCUUUUGUGCAGGAAGAACGUCCUGAUCGUGAUCGGGAGUGACGGUACUGCAUGAAUAAGCACCGGCUAACUCCGUGCCAGCAGCCGCGGUAAUACGGAGGGUGCAAGCGUUAUCCGGAUUUAUUGGGUUUAAAGGGUGCGUCGGCGGUAGAAUAAGUCAGUUGUGAAAAGCUGCAGCUCAACUGUAGUCCGGCCAUUGAAACUGUUUAACGUGAGUAACCAUGAGGUAGGCGGAAUGUGUAGUGUAGCGGUGAAAUGCUUAGAUAUUACACAGAACACCGAUGGCGUAGGCAGCUUACGAGAGGUUUACUGACGCUGAUGCACGAAAGCGUGGGGAUCAAACA
rnacentral:rRNA from 1 species